AUUGAACGCUGGCGGCAUGCUUUACACAUGCAAGUCGAACGGUAACAGGGAGCUUGCUCCGCUGACGAGUGGCGAACGGGUGAGUAAUGCGUCGGAACGUGCCGAGUAGUGGGGGAUAACGCAUCGAAAGGUGUGCUAAUACCGCAUACGAACUGAGGUUGAAAGUGGGGGACCUUCGGGCCUCACGCUAUUCGAGCGGCCGACGUCUGAUUAGCUAGUUGGUGAGGUAAAGGCGCACCAAGGCGACGAUCAGUAGCGGGUCUGAGAGGAUGAUCCGCCACACUGGGACUGAGACACGGCCCAGACUCCUACGGGAGGCAGCAGUGGGGAAUUUUGGACAAUGGGCGCAAGCCUGAUCCAGCCAUGCCGCGUGUCUGAAGAAGGCCUUCGGGUUGUAAAGGACUUUUGUCCGGGAGCAAAUGCUGGUGGCUAACAUCCACCGGAGCUGAGAGUACCGGAAGAAUAAGCACCGGCUAGCUCCGUGCCAGCAGCCGCAGUAA
rnacentral:rRNA from 1 species